ACAGGGGAUGCAAGCGUUAUCCGGAAUGAUUGGGCGUAAAGCGUCUGUAGGUGGCUUUUUAAGUCUGCCGUCAAAUCCCAGGGCUCAACCCUGGCCAGGCGGUGGAGACUACUAAGCUGGAGUACGGUAGGGGCAGAGGGAAUUUCCGGUGGAGCGGUGAAAUGCGUAGAUAUCGGAAAGAACACCAAGGGCGAAGGCACUCUGCUGGGCCGAAACUGACACUGAGAGACGAGAGCUAGGGGAGCAAAUGGGAUUAGAUACCCCAGUAGUCCUAGCCGUAAACGAUGGAUACUAAGUGCUGUGCGUAUCGACCCGUGCAGUGCUGUAGCUAACGCGUUAAGUAUCCCGCCUGGGGAGUACGCUCGCAAGAGUG
rnacentral:rRNA from 1 species